AUGCACGCUGGCGGUAUGCUUAACCCAUGCAAGUCGAACGGACUCUUCGGAGUUAGUGGCGGACGGGUGAGUAACGCGUGAGAAUCUGGCUUUGGGUUCGGGACAUCCACUGGAAACGGUGGCUAAUACCGGAUGUGCCGAGAGGUAAAAGAGAAAUUGCCUGAAGAUGAGCUCGCGUCUGAUUAGCUAGUUGGUGAGGUAAAGGCUCACCAAGGCAGCGAUCAGUAGCUGGUCUGAGAGGAUGACCAGCCACACUGGGACUGAGACACGGCCCAGACUCCUACGGGAGGCAGCAGUGGGGAAUUUUCCGCAAUGGGCGAAAGCCUGACGGAGCAAUACCGCGUGAGGGAAGAAGGCUCUUGGGUUGUAAACCUCUUUUCUUAGGGAAGAACAAAAUGACGGUACCUAAGGAAUCAGCAUCGGCUAACUCCGUG
rnacentral:rRNA from 1 species